GACGAACGCUGGCGGCGUGCCUAAUACAUGCAAGUCGAACGCAGUUGCGAACGGGUGAGUAACGCGUAGGUCACUGCCUGGGAGCGGGGGAUAACUAUUGGAAACGAUAGCUAAUACCGCAUACUACCAGAUGGACCUGCGUUGUAUUAGGUAGUUGGUGAGGUAACGGCUCACCAAGGCAACGAUACAUAACCGAGUUGAGAGGGUGGUCGGCCACACUGGGACUGGGACACGGCCCAGAAUCCUACGGGAGGCAGCAGUAGGGAAACUUCGGCAAUGGGGGGAACCCUGACCGAGCAACGCCGCGGGAGUGGAGAAGGGUUUCGGAUCGUAAAGGUCUGUUGUUAAGGAAGCGGUACUUAACCAGAAAGGGCCGGCUAACUACGUGCCAGCAGCCGCGGUAAUUC
rnacentral:rRNA from 1 species